UUAUCCGGAUUUACUGGGUGUAAAGGGAGCGUAGACGGUAGACCAAGUCUGAAGUGAAAGCCCGGGGCUCAACCCCGGAACUGCUUUGGAAACUGGUAAACUAGAGUGCAGGAGAGGUAAGUGGAAUUCCUAGUGUAGCGGUGAAAUGCGUAGAUAUUAGGAGGAACACCAGUGGCGAAGGCGGCUUACUGGACUGUAACUGACGUUGAGGCUCGAAAGCGUGGGGAGCAAACAGGAUUAGAUACCCUGGUAGUCCACGCCGUAAACGAUGAUUACUAGGUGUCGGGAGUUAAACCUCUGCGUGCC
rnacentral:rRNA from 1 species